GUGCUCACUUCGGCAGCACAUAUACUGAAACUGAAACGAUACAGAGAAGAUUAGCAUGGCCCCUGCGCUUUGUAUUGAAGCCUAUAUUAAAUGCUGUUGUACUGAUCA
rnacentral:snRNA from 1 species